rnacentral:rRNA from 1 species
GAUGAACGCUGGCGGCGUGCUUAACACAUGCAAGUCGAACGGAAAGGCCCAAGCUUGCUUGGGUACUCGAGUGGCGAACGGGUGAGUAACACGUGGGUGAUCUGCCCUGCACUUCGGGAUAAGCCUGGGAAACUGGGUCUAAUACCGGAUAGGACCACUUCUUGGAUGUUGUGGUGGAAAGUUUUUUCGGUGUGGGAUGAGCUCGCGGCCUAUCAGCUUGUUGGUGGGGUAAUGGCCUACCAAGGCGUCGACGGGUAGCCGGCCUGGGAGGGUGUACGGCCACAUUGGGACUGAGAGACGGCCCAGACUCCUACGGGGGGCAGCAGUGGGGAAUAUUGCACAAUGGGCGCAAGCCUGAUGCAGCGACGCCGCGUGGGGGAUGACGGCCUUCGGGUUGUAAACUCAUUUCGCUAGGGACGAAGCGUUUUGUGACGGUACCUGGAGAAGAAGCACCGGCUAACUACGUG